rnacentral:tRNA from 1 species
AAAUUUAGGUUCACAUAAACCAGUGGCCUUCAAAGCCACAGACAGGGCGCUAAAUCCCCUAAUUUCUG